rnacentral:misc_RNA from 1 species
UCCAAUUUUGCUAGUAUUUACACAAAAAAAUUUCUUCCUCCCAUAUCUCCUCCAAGAAAACCCACACAUUAAUGUGCUAUUUCUUUCCACAUUUAAUGCCAGCCGAAGGAGGAAGAAAAUGCUCAGUUGUCAAACCCCAAACAUUGAAAUCUACAUCUUCAAUCUUCCAUUUCUCUUCCAUUUCCCUCUUGUGGUUUGCAGAUUGUUCUCCAUAUCUAAAAACCUUGACACGAGUUUUACCGCUAUGUGCAAUAUUAACUCCAUCAACGUACUUAUAGUCUUGCAUUACAGAUUCUGUGCUUGUCUCCCAGAAUACAUCAUCGUCGUCUUUGUUUCUCAUUCUUAGCAGCCUUGAGUCUUCAAAUUGAAUCAGAAGUCCUGAUCUUUGGCUAAAGUAUCCCCAUAUUGUGUGGUGAAUUAUCUCAUAGUUUGGUCCACUUUGUGCUUCGCGAAUUGCUGGACUUGUCUCUAGCUUUAGUAUAAAACAGUCUUCAUUGUUUAUUAUUUUCUCUCCAAUGCAUGUUGCAUCUAUAAAUAAGUUUGCUG